rnacentral:rRNA from 1 species
AGAGUUUGAUCAUGGCUCAGGACGAACSCUGGCGGCGUGCCUAAUACAUGCAAGUCGAGCGAAUCUUUGGGAGCUUGCUCCCAAAGGUUAGCGGCGGACGGGUGAGUAACACGUGGGCAACCUGCCUAUAAGACUGGGAUAACUUCGGGAAACCGGAGCUAAUACCGGAUAAUCCCUUUCCUCUCAUGAGGAAAGGCUGAAAGAUGGUUUCGGCUAUCACUUAUAGAUGGGCCCGCGGCGCAUUAGCUAGUUGGUGAGGUAACGGCUCACCAAGGCAACGAUGCGUAGCCGACCUGAGAGGGUGAUCGGCCACACUGGGACUGAGACACGGCCCAGACUCCUACGGGAGGCAGCAGUAGGGAAUCUUCCGCAAUGGACGAAAGUCUGACGGAGCAACGCCGCGUGAGUGAUGAAGGUUUUCGGAUCGUAAAGCUCUGUUGUUAGGGAAGAACAAGUACGAGAGUAACUGCUCGUACCUUGACGGUACCUAACCAGAAAGCCACGGCUAACUACGUGCCAGCAGCCGCGGUAAUACGUAGGUGGCAAGCGUUGUCCGGAAUUAUUGGGCGUAAAGCGCGCGCAGGCGGUCCUUUAAGUCUGAUGUGAAAGCCCACGGCUCAACCGUGGAGGGUCAUUGGAAACUGG